UUGAGUUUUUGAUUUUGAAGCAUUGAUUUAAAAUCGAGGGGAGGAAUUCAUUUUAAAUCAAUUCAGAAUUUCUGGUGAGAACAUACUCAUUUUUCCCUUGUCUUCUUUCUCCUCUCCUCCCUCCCUCUGUUGUACUCUAACAGGUAAAGCAAAAAUAACAGCAAGCAAGGACACACAUCAGUGAUGCCGAGGUUUUCAUUAAAAUGUUUUAAGUUGAGGCCAUGAAUAUAUUCAUCUUCCACCCUCUGUGGGAAAGCAUAGCACACGUGUAGCAAGCCUGAGAACAAAAUGGCUGUUUUCUCAGCAAACCAACUGGGAUCCUAAAUAUUUAGUGCUAAGAUCUCCCUUUGGUAGUCAUGUGGCUGGGCAGAGAUGCACAGUGUGAGUAUUGCCCUGCACUAGGAGCUUUGCCACCUCCGUCCCACCUGAUGGCCCUGUAGGGACCAAGCUGUGGGCUCCCCAUCCCCACAGCAGGCCUGCCCCAGGCCCUGCAGCCAAGCUGCCUUGCAUUUAAUUGCAUUGCCUUCCUCCUCGGCUUGUUUUCUGCCCAGAUCUUGUUUGUCCUGGGUCCCUGAGGAGAGCUCUGGGCUGCUCAGUUAAUUGGAAGUGGCUAAAGCCACAGGCAGCAGCUAUGGGGGUGGAGGUGGUGGUGUUGGGUUCGAUUUGUGGAGGCUGUUGAAAAUCUUUGUCUUAGUUUAGCAGUCAUUCACUAUUAGGGUGAGAUGCUUGCCUGGGCAACUGCGGGGGAUUUCUGAGAUGUCCCAAGGGGCCUGAGGAAGUGAUGGCAAUUAGUUUCAUCUGUGCUGUGUUUUAUUAAGCGAUGGUGAAGAGCGAAUGAGCUGGAAAGGAGGAGAGGGGAGUAAGGCCGAGUAAAAGGAUGUGGGAACAAGUUGUAUGUUGGGACACGGAGGGGUAAGGAGCAUGCACACACUGCCAGUUGUACAAAAAAGUGAAUGAGAAGGAAAAGGCACAGUGGUAAAGUGCGUGUGAAAUGUGCAUCUGUAGCAUGAGGGAGAAGGAGAGAAGGGGAUGUGUGUAACACCAGGUCCUUGAAAGCCAGCUUUGCUGGAGGAGGUAGCAGGCUGGAGGUGCAUGUGCUGGUGAGCCAGCUCCUGGGCCUGGCGGCUGGGAAGGGCUGCAGAGCUUCGGUUUAUGCUGAUGACACAUCUUUCCACUUGGGCAAAUGGACGGAUUCCCUUUCUAAAUCACUCCAACGUGAUUUUAAUAGCAGGCAGAGGUGGCUUUUGGAUAAUAAAUGGGUACUAAACCCUAAAGAGACGGAGGCUGUGUCAUACAGAACAGAUGGUAAAUUAAAAAGAAUGGAAACCCGUGACUUUGCUUAGCUCUGCUCUGAGCCGGGGAACUCUCCCUCUUGUUAUGCUAAGUAUUUAGUAUUUACAUCGAAAGGUUGCUUCCUUGCCUGCCCUGACGUGGAAUAUCACAAUUAUGUAUAAUAGCAGCAAGAUCACACUGAUUAGAGAGGUGGCAGGAACGGCGAGACUGCAUGAUGAUGAUGAUCAUCAUCAUUCUUAUUAGUGAUCAUCAAUAAUUAAUAAUUGCAUUGUUUAUUCUUCAUCAGCGGCGGUAAAGACAUCCAGACGUGCCAAAAGGUUUAAAAAUCAUCUCGCUUUGUUUUGUUUACUGACAGAGAAAGUCUCCCUCUGCAUUUGCUUUUUCACUUGGCAUUGCCUGAGUCCCUGGUUCACCUUCUAAAGGGCUCCAAAUCCCCACUAAUUCAGGGCAGCGUUCUUGAAUUUGCCUACUUAAUGACAGAUGCAUAAACUUACUUUGAGUUAAAUUGUCAAGGAAGCCCAUGAACGCUUGAAGGAGGAACUGGACAAGAGAAGAACACCUGUAGUUACCAACGAAGAAGAGCUCUUCAGUGUAUCCGUCACCAUACAAAUGUGGGUGGAGAUGUUCCCUUCCCCUAUGAGCUCAUCGACCAUACAGACAAGACAAAUUCAGGCUGCAGGAUGGAUUGGUCAUACACUGUCCAGAAGUGGGAGAUCCAGCCAUCUUUAUGAAAGGACUGUGUUUUUAAACAUGAAAAACGCCCUAAGAAUGGUCCAAAGAGUAGAAAAGAAAGGUUGGAAACCAAUAGGGAUAAACAAACAAACAACAAAAUAAACCACCCUGCAGAUUUUCAACUUUCAGUGUCAUUUCAAAUUUCAGGAAAUAAAUGUGGAAAACAGACUGAUGACAGCUUUGUGACAUCCACCCCUCUGCCUCCGAGUGCCUUUUAUCCAACAGGAAAACAAAGCAUGCAGUUAAGGAAGACUGGAAAAAUUAAGCCUGAAUCUCUCAUUGACCUGAAACCCACCCUCCAGGGGCAACCAGCAGCUUCCACACCAGCCUUUCACUAUUCAUUGUCCUUCCUAAUGAGAACAACAUUAGACUACUACCUCAACACGACUGAAAUGAUUUCAUGGUAGAAAAUGAUCGUCUCUAUACUUCAGAAGCACUGGUGGUGUUUGCUAUUCAAAUUAGAAUCCUUCCAUACUAACUGUUUUAUUAUCACCAUUAUUAUUUCUGUAUGCUGCGGAAAAGAAGAGAAUCAUUAUUUUCCAUCAGUUCAUUUAGCAGCGGUUGAAAGUUUCUUCUAGUAAACACAAGGAUCAGUCUCUGCUCUGAAGAAUCAAGUAACUACAAAAACGCAGUGGCAUCUUUUAUGCAAAGCAUCACCCCUAUGCCUUUACUCACUGUGCUUUUCCUUAAAUGACUGUAAUGAGACUGUUAAGCAUUCCAGCCUUGUGACUAAUCCCUGCAGGUUUCACCGAUGACAAUAAUAUCAAAUUUCUUCUCAUCAAUGGGAAUUUCCAUUUCCAGCUUGCUUGUUACCCUGGAGUCUAGAACUGCUGUAUAAGAAACAGUUAUAGGAAAAUAGGAAACCCUCUUUUUUCUUCACAACUUUAGCACAGCAGCUCAAUUUGUUUGCAACGUGCUGAUUUUUAGUUCAGUUUGCAUUUGCCUUCUUAGCACCUUCCCUUUGUGUCAUUAGUCAAGCAACCGCCUGGCUGUUCCAGCUUGUUUCUGACAGAACGGAGUAGGUUUGAGAUGGAGGCCAUUCUGCUCACAUGUGAUUGCAUAUAUAUAUAAAAGACUGAAAGCAGCAUUAUGAAACCUCCAGCAACUCAGCUACACACUGCAGCCACUUAUUUUCCAGUGACACCACAACACUCUUUUUCCUACCCACCAGCUGGUGGGAAGUGUCAAGCGACAAUGCCGGAAGAUCACAGGAAGAAUUGCUGCCUUCUAACUCCAGGCUUAAUUACAAUGAGAACAAUUCCAUCAUCCCUGCUGCUACUGGUCUUGGAAUGCACUUGUGCCGGGAGUGCCCCUCUUCCUCAUUUCAUUCCUGGGUAGCUGUUGGUAGGAGGCAGAAAGGAUGAGCAGCGCCCUCUGAGUAAACAGCAUCCCCACAAAGGAACUGCUGAAUCAGAUGUCAUCUGGGAAUUCUUCAGCAGUAACACCUUUCGUGCCAAGGAAUCAUGCAGACCGACUAGCACUCCUCCUCCGUUUUCACAGCCACUGUACAGAUGGAGCUGUUUGUCAUCUGUCAUGCUGACACAAAGCUGGGACGGACCAGCAGCAUGAGAACUCUGUCUCCUGAUCUGGUCAGCUGAGAAAGUUUUAUCUGCAUCUUCUUUUCUUUAUGGCAGACUGACAUAAAAUGGAAUUUGAUGAUCACAGGUUUCUGUUGGUAACCUUGGACUAGAAGAGGGUAAUUAUCAAACACGGACCAAUGAAUUCAAUAAGGCUCUGAUUUUAGGAAGCACUUGAAUACGUGGCUUUCUCUAAUCUCUAAGAUAUUUCUUGUCUGGCAAAGGAUGUAAAUACAGACAGCCUUAAGCAUGUGCUGAGACACUCUAAGGUAAAGAACUCAACUGGGUAAAAAAUGGUAGCCAUACUGUAGUGGAAAAUGACGAUAUAAAGCAUUUCUCCAGGGCUGCCUGGCACUAAUGACUUUAAUACAGCAAGCUGAACAAACUUAUGUGGCAGCAGUGACUGUGAAGGAGGACUUUUAACUUGCCUACAAUAACUACCUUGCUAGGAGCUGAGCGUUUCAGUCAGUAUGAUGAAUAGAGAACAGUAGAAGACCAGCACAUGGAGGCAGUGUGGAAAGCAGACCUGGAUGGGGCAGGGUGCAGAGCGCAGCCGUAGGAGAGCCUGCCUGGAAGCCAAACAGUGACCUCAUGAAGCACACGCUGGCAGCUUGGCUGCACAGGGAGAGAUUGCCAAGCUGGGCCUUAAAAAUGCAGAAACAAUGUAAAUGAGUGCAUGCUUCCCAAAAAAUGUACGCGUAGGUAACGGCUUGCAAAGGAGGCUGGCAAAGGGUUUGGACCUCCUAUGAAUCCAUAGCAGAUUCAAACCAUAUAGAAGGAUGAGAAGAAGUGUGACGAUAAUAUGCGUAUGAUGAUACUGCUUACACCACAGCUGUUACUGUGAGUUAGCAGCGACAUAAGACGUGGGCAGAGUUAGAAGAACCAGCACCUUGCAGAGCUGAUGGAGGGGCCAGUGCUCAAUGCUGAAGCUCUCUUGCCCUCUGUCUCUGCUUCCCAUCCCAGCUGAUGUUCUAGCGCCUGUAGGUCUCCUCCUAUAACCUCAGUACUGUUCAUCGCACUGAGCCAUACUUCCAAAUAUAUUUAUAAGCCCAUUAGUACAACUUGUGAUCUAUUCAUAGACAAGCAAUGAACAAAGAAAGAGAGUCAAACGCAGCCAAUAAAUUGCCUGCAAGAAGUAAACUGUGCCAUCAGCAAAAAUUUGUAUCUCUGUUUUUCUCCUCUUUCUCUUAGAUCGUUAAUAAACAUAUUGAACAUCCCCGGUCCUGAUGCUGAUCCCUGGAGCAUCUUGCUAUUAACCUCCUUUCAUGGAGAGAAUUGGACGCUUAUUCCUUUCCUUUGUUUCUCACCUCUUAUCUAGGCUUUAAUCCAUGUCAGGACUUCGCCUCCCACCCUAUGGGUAACAAAUUUCUUUAAUAGCCUCUCGUGAAAGACUUUAUCAAAAGCCUUUUGAAAACUUUAAAUAAAUUAUAUCCCCCCCACACCCC